AGUGAACGCUGGCGGUAGGCCUAACACAUGCAAGUCGAACGGCAGCACAGUAAGAGCUUGCUCUUACGGGUGGCGAGUGGCGGACGGGUGAGGAAUACAUCGGAAUCUACUUUUUCGUGGGGGAUAACGUAGGGAAACUUACGCUAAUACCGCAUACGACCUACGGGUGAAAGCAGGGGAUCUUCGGACCUUGCGCGAUUGAAUGAGCCGAUGUCGGAUUAGCUAGUUGGCGGGGUAAAGGCCCACCAAGGCGACGAUCCGUAGCUGGUCUGAGAGGAUGAUCAGCCACACUGGAACUGAGACACGGCCCAGACUCCUACGGGAGGCAGCAGUGGGGAAUAUUGGACAAUGGGCGCAAGCCUGAUCCAGCCAUACCGCGUGGGCGAAGAAGGCCUUCGGGUUGUAAAGCCCUUUUGUUGGGAAAGAAAAGCAGCAGGUUAAUACCCCGCUGCUCUGACGGUACCCAAAGAAUAAGCACCGGCUAACUUCGUG
rnacentral:rRNA from 1 species